CCCUUAGACGUUCUGGGCCGCACGCGCGCUACACUGACGAAGGCAACGAGCUUUCCUUUACCGAAAGGUACGGGUAAUCUUUUGAAACUUCGUCGUGCUGGGGAUAGAUCCUUGCAAUUUUUGAUCUUAAACGAGGAAUGCCUAGUAAGCGCAAGUCAUCAACUUGCGUUGAUUACGUCCCUGCCCUUUGUACACACCGCCCGUCGCUACUACCGAUUGAAUGGUUUAGUGAGGCCUUCGGAUCCGCGACUCGUUUUGUGGAGAAGUUGGACAAACUCAGUCAUUUAGAGGAAGUAAAAGGCGUAACA
rnacentral:rRNA from 1 species